rnacentral:rRNA from 1 species
CACACGGUAAACGAUGAAUGCUAGGUGUAGGGGGUAUCGACCCCUUCUGUGCCGGAGUAAACACAAUAAGCAUUCCGCCUGGGGAGUACGGCCGCAAGGUUGAAACUCAAAGGAAUUGACGGGGGCCCGCACAAGCAGCGGAGCAUGUGGUUUAAUUCGAAGCAACGCGAAGAACCUUACCAGGUCUUGACAUCCAGUAAAAACUGUAGAGAUACAGUGUGCCUUCGGGCGUACUGAGACAGGUGG